AAUUAUGGUGAGCUGGGUGAGAGCGCUUCGGCGCACCGUAUCCUGUUGGGCGGCAAGACCAAUCUCACUCAGUUCACCACCCAA
rnacentral:antisense_RNA from 2 species